rnacentral:rRNA from 1 species
GUCUUUUUGUUAAUAAUUUAAAGUCAAAUCUGCCCACUGAUUAAUAAUUAAAGGGCUGCAGUAUAUUGACUGUACAAAGGUAGCAUAAUAAUUAGUCUUUUAAUUGAAGACUUGUAUGAAAGAUUUGAUGAGAUAUAAGCUGUCUCUUUUUUAUAUUUAGAACUUAAUUUUUUAGUAAAAAAGCUAAAAUUAUUUUAAAAGACGAGAAGACCCUAUAGAGUUUUAUAUUUAAGUUUAAUUAUAUAUUUAUGUAUAAGUUUAAAAUUAAUUAAUUUAAUUAUUUUAUUGGGGUGAUAAAAAAAUUAAAAUAACUUUUUUUUAAUUUAAACAUUAAUUGAUGAUUUUAUGAUCCAUAAUUUAUGAUUAUAAGAAAAAAUUACCUUAGGGAUAACAGCGUAAUUUUUUUUUUUAGUUCUUAUAAAAAAAAAAGUUUGCGACCUCGAUGUUGGAUUAAGAUAAAAUUUAAAUGCAGAAGUUUAAAAUUUUUGAUCUGUUCGAUCAUUAAAAUCUUACA